UACGUAGGGUGCAAGCGUUGUCCGGAAUUAUUGGGCGUAAAGAGCUCGUAGGCGGUUUGUUGCGUCGGCUGUGAAAUCCCGAGGCUCAACCUCGGGUCUGCAGUCGAUACGGGCAGACUAGAGUUCGGUAGGGGAGACUGGAAUUCCUGGUGUAGCGGUGAAAUGCGCAGAUAUCAGGAGGAACACCGGUGGCGAAGGCGGGUCUCUGGGCCGAAACUGACGCUGAGGAGCGAAAGCGUGGGGAGCGAACAGG
rnacentral:rRNA from 1 species